rnacentral:rRNA from 1 species
UACGUAGGCAGCAAGCGUUGUUCGGAUUUACUGGGCGUAAAGGGCGCGUAGGCGGCAGAUCAAGUCAGUUGUGAAAUCUCUGAGCUUAACUCAGAACUGUCAACUGAUACUGCUCUGCUAGAGUGCGGAAGGGGCAAUCGGAAUUCUUGGUGUAGCGGUGAAAUGCGUAGAUAUCAAGAGGAACACCUGAGGUGAAGACGGGUUGCUGGGCCGACACUGACGCUGAGUGCGCGAAAGCCAGGGGAGCAAACGGG